ACGAAGGUCCCAAGCGUUGUUCGGAAUUACUGGGCGUAAAGCGUCUGUAGGCGGCGCGGUAAGUCAGAUGUGAAAUCCCGGGGCUCAACCUCGGAACUGCAUCCGAUACUGCCGUGCUAGAGUAUUGGAGGGGAGUCUGGAAUUCUCGGUGUAGCAGUGAAAUGCGUAGAUAUCGAGAGGAACACUAGUGGCGAAGGCGAGACUCUGGACAAUAACUGACGCUGAGAGACGAAGGCCAGGGUAGCGAAAAGG
rnacentral:rRNA from 1 species